UACGUAGGCAGCGAGCGUUGUUCGGAGUUACUGGGCGUAAAGAGUGCGUAGGCGGUUUUCUAAGUUUGGUGUGAAAUCUCCCGGCUUAACUGGGAGGGUGCGCCGAAGACUGGAAGGCUUGAGUAUGGGAGAGGUAAGCGGAAUUCCUGGUGUAGCGGUGAAAUGCGUAGAUAUCAGGAGGAACACCUGCGGUGUAGGCGGCUUACUGGACCAUCACUGACGCUGAGGCACGAAAGCGUGGGUAGCAAACAGG
rnacentral:rRNA from 1 species